GCUUCAGAACCGACCGAUGAUCUGCGGGUGGUCCGGGGUUCGAUUCCCCG
rnacentral:tRNA from 12 species